rnacentral:rRNA from 1 species
UGCAGUCGAGCGGUAACAGGGGUAGCUUGCUACCCGCUGACGAGCGGCGGACGGGUGAGUAACGCAUAGGAAUUUACCCGGUAGUGGGGGAUAACCUGGGGAAACCCAGGCUAAUACCGCAUACGUCCUACGGGAGAAAGGGGGCUUUGGCUCCCGCUAUCGGAUGAGCCUAUGCCGGAUUAGCUAGUUGGUGAGGUAAUGGCUCACCAAGGCGACGAUCCGUAGCUGGUCUGAGAGGAUGAUCAGCCACAUCGGGACUGAGACACGGCCCGAACUCCUACGGGAGGCAGCAGUGGGGAAUAUUGGACAAUGGGGGCAACCCUGAUCCAGCCAUGCCGCGUGUGUGAAGAAGGCCCUCGGGUUGUAAAGCACUUUCAGCGAGGAAGAACGCCUAUCGGUUAAUACCCGGUAGGAAAGACAUCACUCGCAGAAGAAGCACCGGCUAACUCCGUGCCAGCAGCCGCGGUAAUACGGAGGGUGCAAGCGUUAAUCGGAAUUACUGGGCGUAAAGCGCGCGUAGGUGGCUUGAUAAGCCGGUUGUGAAAGCCCCGGGCUCAACCUGGGAACGGCAUCCGGAACUAUCAGGCUAGAGUGCAGGAGAGGAAGGUAGAAUUCCCGGUGUAGCGGUGAAAUGCGUAGAGAUCGGGAGGAAUACCAGUGGCGAAGGCGGCCUUCUGGA